rnacentral:lncRNA from 1 species
GGAGGCGGUGCCACACGCAGGCCACGCCCCUCCGGGAAAAGGGACUUGUGGAAUUGAGCUGGAUGGGCUCCUCUGUGCUGCGGCACGUGAGCUUUCGUCUCUUCUGCAGACCUGAGUCUGCACCAGCCGGCACACCUGGGACACUCUCAGUAUGAUCCAGCACUUUGGAGCUCCAGUGGUCAUGGAUUCCAGGUUCACAGAUUGGAGGCAGAGGCCAGCAUGUCAAGUUUGCAGUAUCUUGCCUAGGGAACUGGGGGAUCGUAUCUAUGUAGCUGAGACUCUGGUCUGCAGGACACCUUCAGAAAGUCAAGUGUGGAGUUCAGAGCUGAGCCUUACUCAGUUUACCUGCACAAGCUGUCUCCUCUGCGGAUCACUUGAGGAUUUGGAAACCAACUGUGAACAGAAGCUCUCUGGCACAGAGCCCUUCGAGCAAGCACCCCUACCCAUGGUUUCUGUCUGUCCUUUUCUCUUUCUGCUCAUGCAGCAAGGAACAGCCUCAGGCUUUUACCACACUGUGUUGACCUUUCUCUAGAGUGACAGGAACUUGAGUGUGCCCAGACUAAAGUAUGACUCUUGGAGACCACAGACCAAAUAGUGUAUCCCUCUUAGUUCCAAAGCAAGUUCUCUUUAGCCAGGAAGUAGUACCUGGCUCAACCACUGCUUUGCCUUAGGACAUCCCUGGUGGGUUGGGUUGGUUUUGGCAGAACUCCCAUCUAAUCCAGGCAGGCUUCAAACUCAGAUCCUUGCCUCAGCCUCCAAAGUUUGGCAAUUAUAGUCAUGGAUCAAGACACCUAGAUGUAACCUUUUGAUGAGUCUAACUGACUUUAUAGCCCACUGGGUGGACUCUGGCCGCCCUGGGAAGGGUCCAGCAGGGUCCAUGACCUUUCUGUGGCAAAUUCCUUGCCAAUGGGCUGGUUAUCAUGAUGCCUCCAGUCUUGGCCUUCCAGCUUUCUCGGGAAGCUAGUCUAGAAAAGGCCUUUACUUUCAACCUUGGGGAAGGGAAGCUCCCUGCCCCCCAGCACACACACACACACACACACACACCACGCACGCACGCACGCACGCACGCACGCACACACGCACGCACGCACAGCACAUCCCAACAAGGCAUCAUUCCCACCCAGGUCCUGCAGCUUGUCAAGCACAGUCUGGCCAGCUAGCUGACUUCUCUCUCUCUGAAGCUGUGGAUCCAGCUAGGACCUCAGAGGACAGGAUAGCUUGAGAUUGCAGCCUUGAGACUAGUUUGCACAGCUGAUGGACAGAACCUUAAAAGGAAUUUUCUCAUUUUACCAACUCCCCAACUAAAUACUGUGUCUCCAUAAACGGACCCCAAGCCAAGCCAAAGUUUUUUUUAAAAGCACAAUACAGCUGAGUCUGUGGUCCCAGCACUAGGGAGGCUAAAACUGUAGUAUCUCAAGUUCAGGCCAGUCCAGGCUGCCUCACUUGUUUCCAUAAACAAAACAGAGAAAAACAAACUUAAAGCCCUGGGAAGAAAAGUAACCAGUUAUUUGAAUUGACUAUUCUGAGCCUGCAAAAGUUGCCAGAACCACGGGGCAGGCAUUGGUGGUGCACGCCUUUAAUCCCAGCACCCGGGAGGCAGAGACAAGCUGAGAGUUCGAGACCAGCCUGGCCUCCAGAGCGAGUGCCAGGAUAGGCUUCAAAGCUACACAGAGAAACACUGUCUCGAAAAACCAAAACAAACAAACAAAAAAACAAAACAAAAAAGUUGCCAGAACCUAUGCCUGUAAGAGCAAGGUAAACCAAAGAGGAUGGUGUUAACUCCAUCCUUAGAAAAAGCCAUCUUGAGAAAUUGCCUGUGUGGCACAAGGCUGAUUCAGCUCCAACCAAGGAGCCAUAAACAGUUCCAAGGAGCACCUAAACUGUGCCUACCCCAGUCAAAAUGACCCCAUCUGGGCAGUUAGGCAAUGGCUAAUUUUGAUAAAUAACAUCUUCACCUCACAACUGUCCUUGUGGGCUACUGUUAGUAACAAUUUUGAAAUCUCCCUAGCCCCCACGUCAGUGAAUCCAAAGGUUACCUACUCUUACUCAAUCCUAAACAGCUAAGGCAAUACCACCCUGCUUGUGAUUCUUUCCUUUAAAAACCCCUUUCAACUGAGGCCAGGCACUCUUUUCCUGAGCUGCUGUGCCAAUUUCCUGGACCGGGUCCUUGCCGAAGCUUGUAACUUAACAUUAAACCUUAAUGCGUUUGCAUCAGUGAGUUGGCUCCUUGGUGGUAUUUUUGGGGUCUCAUGAACUUGGCAUAAUAAUGCCACAAUCUCCUGUGUCUAUUAGACAUCCUUGGGGCUGGGCAGAACCUAUGCCAUGAUCUCAUGUAUCUACUAGACAUCCUUGGGACUGGGCAAAACCUAUGCUAUGAUCUCCUGUAUCUACUAGACAUCUUGGGACAGGACAGAACCCAUGCCAUGAUCUCCUGUAUCUACUAGACAUCCUUGGAACAGGGAAGGGCACCUCUGAGGCAGGACAACACCCAAUCCAACCAAGCUUUUGGCUAGCAGGCAUGGUGACAUGUCACAGCUGCAUUCCUUCCUGAAGGUAAGUUCGGACAGGCCCCAUGGGGCUCUCCUGUGGCAAACACCCAGUGUUAGGUACCAACCAAGAAACAGGAAAGACUUUGACUUUCAGGGUCUGAGGGGCAGAGGCACACCAGGAUGAAGGAAGUACCCCCAGGGCCACAUGAGUCACAGACUCCAGUCUUUGCCACUGCUGGCCCUCCCAGCUUCCUGAUAGGUCCUUGCCUUUUUCCUCCCCCCCUUUCCCCACUUUUUUUGUUUUGUUUUGUUUUUUGUUUUUUUGAGACAGG